rnacentral:rRNA from 1 species
GUUGAACGCUAGCUACAGGCUUAACACAUGCAAGUCGCGGGGCAGCAUGUCGGUUGCUUGCAACCGAUGAUGGCGACCGGCGCACGGGUGAGUAACGCGUAUCCAACCUGCCCUUCACCACGGAAUAAUCCAGUGAAAAUUGGUCUAAUACCGUAUGAGGUCAUACGAUGGCAUCAGAAUAUGACGAAAGGUUUGGCGGUGAAGGAUGGGGAUGCGUCUGAUUAGCUUGUUGGUGAGGUAACGGCUCACCAAGGCGAAGAUCAGUAGGGGUUGUGAGGGUAAUGUCCCCCACAUUGGAACUGAGAAACGGUCCAAACUCCUACGGGAGUCAGCAGUGAGGAAUAUUGGUCAAUGGGCGAGAGCUUGAACCAGCCAAGUAGCGUGCAGGAAGACGGCCCUAUGGGUUGUAAACUGCUUUUAUAUGGGGAUAAAGUGAGCUACGUGUAGUUUAUUGCAGGUACCAUAUGAAUAAGGACCGGCUAAUUCCGUGCCAGCCGCCGCCGUAA